rnacentral:lncRNA from 1 species
AAAAAGUGAUGCAAAAUACUGAAAUAUUCAGAGCAUAUUCUUUCUUUUAGGGAUGUCAAUGGGUAAGGAUAUUCGAAAUUUUAUCCAAAUUCGAAUCCGAAUCCGAAUCCGAACGGAGCAAAUUUAUUCGAUGCUAAAUGAUUAUAGUUUCGAAUAUGGAUAUCAAAAAUAAAAUUCCGAUGGAUAUGAAUACAUAUAUGAAUUUUGACUGUACUUGAUUUGAACCCGAAUCGGGCCCGAAUCCGAUUCGAAUCUGAAUUUGUUUUACAUUAUAUAUAAUAUGUAUAUAAAAAUUUAAUGUUAUAUUUGAAUUUGUAUUUUAAAAUUUUAAAUUUAAUAUAAUAUAUUUUGAAAUAUUGAAAAGAGAAAUAAUUAUUUCGGGUUCGGGUUUGAAUAUGGAUUUUUAAAAUCCGUCGAGUUCGGGAUUCGGGUUCGGAGUCGGGUUCGGGUUUGGAUUUUUAAAAAUCCGCUCCGAAUCCGACCCGUUGACAUCCCUACUUUCUUUAUCUCCCC